GACAGAGGGUGCAAACGUUGUUCGGAUUUACUGGGCGUAAAGCGCGUGUAGGCGGCUUUGCAAGUCGGAUGUGAAAUCCCACGGCUCAACCGUGGAAGUGCAUCCGAAACUGCAUCGCUGGAGUCUCGGAGAGGAAGGUGGAAUGCUUGGUGUAGAGGUGAAAUUCGUAGAUAUCAAGCAGAACGCCUGCGGCGAAGGCGGCCUUCUGGACGAUGACUGACGCUGAGACGCGAAAGCGUGGGGAGCAAACAGG
rnacentral:rRNA from 1 species